UGGAUGUGGUAACUGGAUCAAGAGAUUAGAGCAAGCUGAAUACCAGGCCAGUAGAUAAGAAAGCUAAAGCAGCCUGCUUUGAUAUUUCAGAAUCUCCCAGAUGCUCAUCAUUUGGAAACGUGAGUGAUAUUAAGGAUGUAAGCAACAGGAUGAGUUGAAAGUCAGUUCAGGAAACAACUAGAACUCCAGAUUCCCCAGCCACUUGCUUGUGUCAGUUGAGGACCCAUCAGCCAGCUUGGACAUUAGGAAAUCUUUCUCUGGGACCCUGACAUAUUGGAGACAAAUGCCCUUAAGGUAAUUUGAAAACAACACAUCUCUGGAAGGAAAAUAAAACAAAAAACUAUUAUAGCCUCAAAAAGAUUAGAAGGAUAAGUGCAUAUAUGAAAUAAGAACAGAAAGCAAUUUUAUAAGGAAUAGUUAGAGAACAAAAGAAAAAGAUCUUAUAAAUUUAAAUAUGGCAGUAGACAUUUAAAAACUCAGUAGAAGUUUUGUAAAAGGAAAUCCAAAAAAA